CCUACGGGAGGCAGCAGUCGAGAAUCAUUGACAAUGGGGGAAACCCUGAUGGUGCGACGCCGCGUGGGGGAAUGAAGGUCUUCGGAUUGUAAACCCCUGUCAUGUGGGCGCAAAUUAAAAAGAUAGUACCACAAGAGGAAGCGACGGCUAACUCUGUGCCAGCAGCCGCGGUAAUACAGAGGGCUCAAGCGUUGUUCGGAAUCACUGGGCGUAAAGCGUGCGUAGGCGGUUUCGUAAGUCGUGUGUGAAAGUCGCGGGCUCAACCCGGGAACGGCACAUGAUACUGCAAGACUAGAGUGAUGGAGGGGGAAGCGGAAUUCUCGGUGUAGCAGUGAAAUGCGUAGAUAUAGGGAGGAACACUAGUGGCGAAGGCGGGUUCCUGGACAUUAACUGACGCUGAGGCGCGAAGGCCAGGGGAGCGAAAGGGAUUAGAUACCCCUGUAGUC
rnacentral:rRNA from 1 species